rnacentral:lncRNA from 1 species
UUGCUAUUGUCUUAUUUUUUGCACAUCUAUCCAUUAAGAAUAUUUUAGUUAUUUUAAUUUAAAAUCGUUGAUUUUUUUAAUUGCGUUAGAUAACGUAGCAAUAUAUGCAAAAAGAAGAAUAAAAACAAGGGUAGAAUUGUAAAAUAAGUGUUUUACGGAGAUAUAAAAAUUCGAUAUUUAGAAGAAUAUUUAUUUCUUUUUUUGUUCUUUGCUCGAGGCAUG